UACGGGGGGGGCAAGCGUUGUUCGGAAUUACUGGGCGUAAAGGGCUUGUAGGCGGCCAACUAAGUCCGACGUGAAAUCCCCAGGCUUAACCUGGGAACUGCGUCGGAUACUGGAUGGCUUGAAUUCGGGAGAGGGAUGCAGAAUUCCAGGUGUAGCGGUGAAAUUCGUAGAUAUUCGGAGGAACACCAGUGGCGAAGGCGGCUCACUGGUCCAUUACUGACGCUGAGGUGCGAAAGCGUGGGGAGCAAACAGG
rnacentral:rRNA from 1 species